CGUGUCGACGGACAGACACGUCCUUCAAGGAUGAGGGAUAGGGAAAUCGCAGGACGCGAUUCAUCAGGAUGAUGAAAAGGAACACAGGGAAUAGGGAAAAAAUGUGGGCGGGUUAAACCGCCCCUUUUUUU
rfam:Pseudomonas sp. TW4, complete genome.